ACACAUGCAAGUCGAACGAAGCACUUAAGUUUGAUUCUUCGGAUGAAGACUUUUGUGACUGAGUGGCGGACGGGUGAGUAACGCGUGGGUAACCUGCCUCAUACAGGGGGAUAACAGUUAGAAAUGACUGCUAAUACCGCAUAAGACCACAGCACCGCAUGGUGCAGGGGUAAAAACUCCGGUGGUAUGAGAUGGACCCGCGUCUGAUUAGCUAGUUGGUGGGGUAACGGCCUACCAAGGCGACGAUCAGUAGCCGACCUGAGAGGGUGACCGGCCACAUUGGGACUGAGACACGGCCCAAACUCCUACGGGAGGCAGCAGUGGGGAAUAUUGCACAAUGGGGGAAACCCUGAUGCAGCGACGCCGCGUGAAGGAUGAAGUAUUUCGGUAUGUAAACUUCUAUCAGCAGGGAAGAAAAUGACGGUACCUGACUAAGAAGCCCCGGCUAACUACGUGCCAGCAGCCGCGGUAAUACGUAGGGGGCAAGCGUUAUCCGGAUUUACUGGGUGUAAAGGGAGCGUAGACGGUAUGGCAAGUCUGAUGUGAAAGGCCAGGGCUCAACCCUGGGACUGCAUUGGAAACUGUCGAACUAGAGUGUCGGAGAGGCAAGUGGAAUUCCUAGUGUAGCGGUGAAAUGCGUAGAUAUUAGGAGGAACACCAGUGGCGAAGGCGGCUUGCUGGACGAUGACUGACGUUGAGGCUCGAAAGCGUGGGGAGCAAACAGGAUUAGAUACCCUGGUAGUCCACGCCGUAAACGAUGACUACUAGGUGUCGGGUAGCAGAGCUAUUCG
rnacentral:rRNA from 1 species